rnacentral:lncRNA from 1 species
CCUUAGUUGUCGUUCUCUCUCAGUCCCUGUUCAUUCAGCACGUAUGCAUUAUGUACCUGAUGUGCCAUCCCUGUUCUGGGUAUUACACUACAGCACACCCGCUCCUUUCUGUCCCCUGGCAGGUUGUGAGCUCCUCCAAGAGGGAAUCUGCAUUUCUGUCAUCUGACAUAGGGCCUGCGCAGGGCUGAUCUCAGCACACAGCCUGACAUUUGUGGGACACGUGGCUGCUACCUGACUUACGGCUUUUCUUUCUAGUGAACGUAAUUAACUGUAGUAAAUGGGUGACCAUUAAAUGUUACAUUGGGGAGGGAACAAAGAAUGGGACCACUAAUUCCUGUGGGUGGGUUGGGGAUGGAGGUAAAAAUAAAACAAAAAUGGGGGGGGAGGCUUCACUCAGGAGGCUGCUUCCUGCUCUGUCAGCACCUGACCUUGCAAUGAGGUGAGGUUAACUGCCCUUGGCUGGCUCUGCUUAAAAGCUCAAGGGCCCCUUUGGUGCUUAGCAACAACCUUGAGUGCUUAGAAUGAUGAUUUUGAAGCUGGGUGUGGCUCCUGGGCAGGAAGCCACCACCACCACCAAAACAGCCUGGGCCUCCUGUACUUCCUCCCUCCAAACUCCACCCCCGGCUGGGCCCACAGUGUUUUGGAGCCCUAUCUUAGGAGCACAAAUGAGAAGUCCCUAGCAGUGGUCACAUCUCCACUAAUGAGGUGUAUGAUCUCAGACAAGUUGUGUCACCUCUCUGAGCUUCAGUUCCUAUAUUGGCUUUGUCCCUGUCUCGUUCCCAGGUAAGGCCAUCCUGGCACAGCACUGGAGGAACAGAAGACCUCCAUAAGUACUCUCGUACCUGAGUCUGCUUGGUGAGGGGAGGACUGAGUCAUUCUUCCCCAUCUGUCUGAUCUUGCUCUUUCCUCUGAGCCCCUCUGCCAAGCCAGCCUCAUCUUCUCAGUCCUGAUUUCUACAGAUCCUGUCCUGCCUUCCCACUCCCCCUGCCUCCCUUUCCCCUAGGAUUAUCUUUUGCACAGUCAAAUCUUGUCAAGACUCCCAAACAUCUACAUCUUGGCAAAUCACAAGCGUUUUGUUUUUUAGGUCAUUACUAUUGCUGUAGUGAUCUUUCGUUUUUUAACAAUUUAAAUAUAGCAUGCCU